rnacentral:tRNA from 1 species
CCGAAGUGGUGGAACUGGUAGACGCGCUGCGUUCAGGGCGCAGUGGGAGCAAUCCUGUGGGGGUUCGAGUCCCCCCUUCGGCA